rnacentral:rRNA from 1 species
AUUGAACGCUGGCGGCAGGCCUAACACAUGCAAGUCGAGCGAGCGGCGGACGGGUGAGUAAUGUCUGGGAAACUGCCCGAUGGAGGGGGAUAACUACUGGAAACGGAAGCUAAUACCGCAUACCAUCAGAUGUGCCCAGAUGGGAUUAGCUAGUAGGUGGGGUAACGGCGCACCAAGGCGACGAUCCCUAGCUGGUCUGAGAGGAUGAACAGCCACACGGGAACUGGUACACGGUCCAGACUCCUACGGGAGGCAGCAGUGGGGAAUAUUGCACAAUGGGCGCAAGCCUGAUGCAGCCAUGCCGCGCGUAUGAAGAGGGCCUUCGGGUUGUAAAGUACUUUCUGCGGGGAGGCGUUACCCGCAGAAGAAGCACCGGCUAACUCCGUGCCAGCAGCCGCGGUAAUUC